GACGAACGCUGGCGGCGUGCUUAACACAUGCAAGUCGAACGGAAAGGCCCUGCUUUUGUGGGGUGCUCGAGUGGCGAACGGGUGAGUAACACGUGAGUAACCUGCCCUUGACUUUGGGAUAACUUCAGGAAACUGGGGCUAAUACCGGAUAGGAGCUCCUGCUGCAUGGUGUGGGUUAGAAAGUUUCGGCGGUUGGGGAUGGUCUCGCGGGUUAUCAGCUUGUUGGUGUGGUAGUGGCUUACCAAGGCUUUGACGGGUAGCCGGCCUGAGAGGGUGACCGGCCACAUGGCGCCUGCGGUACGGCCCAGAAGCCAACGGGAGGCAGCAGUGGGAAGUAUUGCAGAGCGGGGGGAAGCGUGAGACAACAACGCCGGGUGCGGAAUGACGGCCUUCGGGUUGUAAACCGCUGUGGACUGAGACGAAGAGAGAGUGACGGUAAUGGGUAAAGAAGCAACGGCUAACUACGUG
rnacentral:rRNA from 1 species